rnacentral:rRNA from 1 species
UACAGAGGGUGCGAGCGUUGUUCGGAAUUAUUGGGCGUAAAGCGCGUGUAGGCGGCGAUUUAAGUCGGGUGUGAAAGCCCUCAGCUCAACUGAGGAAGCGCGCCCGAGACUGAAUGCUUGAGUGCCGAAGAGGGUGGCGGAAUUCCCCAAGUAGAGGUGAAAUUCGUAGAGAUGGGGAGGAACACCGGAGGCGAAGGCGGCCACCUGGGAGGUAACUGACGCUGAGAACGCGAAAGCGUGGGGAGCAACAGG